rnacentral:tRNA from 1 species
GGGGGUGUGGCUCGCUGGUAGAGCACUCGCCUGGCGUGUGUGAGGCCCUGGGUUCCAUCCCCAGCACUGCCC